rnacentral:rRNA from 1 species
UACAGAGGGUGCAAGCGUUAAUCGGAAUUACUGGGCGUAAAGCGUGCGUAGACGGUUAUGUAAGUCGGGUGUGAAAGCCCCGGGCUCAACCUGGGAAUGCCAUUCGAGACUGCAUAGCUAGGGUGCGGAAGAGGGAAGCGGAAUUUCCGGUGUAGCGGUGAAAUGCGUAGAUAUCGGAAGGAACACCAGUGGCGAAAGCGGCUUCCUGGUCCAGCACCGACGUCAGGCACGAAAGCGUGGGGAGCAA